GAGCUAGAUGAAUUUUUUUUACAUACAUAUAGAUCUAUAUAUAUAUAUAUUUCUUAAAUGAAGCUGCUUUCUGGUGUUUUAUUUCUCAAAAUCCCUUUGUGCCCCUCUUUGCACUGAUCCCAAGGCAGCUCCUGAUCUGUGACUUGGGGCCAGGCUGUAAUGUUCUUGAGAUGGAGUUUGGCUUUCGUUCAGAUUUCAGUUCUGUGUUGGCUUUGGGACCAGCAGAAAGCAAAAAAUCUGGCUGCCUUGCAGGACUUUCGAGGCCUCCAAGCUGUGUUUCUAUUCAGGACCCUCUGGCUUUGUUCUGGGAGGUAGUUUGGUCUCUCCAAAGCCAGAGGUUAUCGGGGAAGGCUGAAUAUUCACACCUGACUCACAGUUACACGUCCUCAGUUACCUCUGGCUGGUUCUGCAAGUUCACGCCGGACACCAGGCCUGCCACCUCCUCCCCCGUGGAGCUGGCUCAGGGAGCAGCUGCAGCGGGCCUUUGUGCCUGGGCUGGGAACCGCUGUGUUUUCCCCGUGUCCCCAGCCGUGAGGCAGCUGGUGCGCACUCCAGCUGGGCUGCAGGCAGCUCUGGGAUGGCACAGGGCAGGCACUCCUUGACAGGCUGCUGUGAAACACACGGUCCCCUUGGCGCCCUGGCCGGCCUCUCUGGGACUAGUCCUCUUCCUGACCGGUGGGUGGGGAUAGCUGCUGACACAGGAAAGAGAGGAGAUCCCAGGUGAAGCUUAGGAAAUCACCAGAGCCAACUCGGAUUCACUGGGGAAGUUUUCGGAAAGAAAUCGUUGUUCUGCUUGUGAGAAAGGCCUGGUGUGUCCACCAUGGGCAGUCCCACAGCAUCUCAAAGCCAAGGGCCGUCAGCGGCUGUUGCUUCCCUUUCUCAGGCUUUGGGGAAGGGAGUCUCCUCUGCUCCCGCUUGGCUCCAUUUUAAAGAGGAGCUCAACAUGGAGGCACUGGGUCUUUUCUCCCCUUUCCUUGAUGGACCAGUAGUGCUCCUUGCAAUCUCACCUUUUAAAUUCCAGGUUGAUCUCCUUCCCUGAUCAGACAUCCACGUGGCCUCUUUAAGAAGCAAAGAAUAGCACCUACCAUGUGCCGGGCCCUGCGUUAGGCACUUUUAUACAUAUACCCUCUUUAGGAUGAGACUAAGAGAUGAGGACUUCCCUCAUUAAAGGCCCCCAUGUAAGGGAUACACAAAAGCACUUGGAGGUGAGAAGGUCUUUCUCCAAAGAUCCAAGGCAAGAUUGCCUUUGAUCCGAGGUUUGUUCUCAAAGACCCACCCCUUACAAUAUCCUCCCAUCUCUCAACUUCUUUGCCCUGGGAUUUGCUCCUUUGCAUUCUUCAGAUGGUUGGAAGGGUAACCUGAGUCCUUAUAGAAUUUGUGGACCAAUAGGAUAUGUGGUGUGUGUACCUUUCUUUCGAAAACUGAAGUAAAGGGGUCUUGCUAUUUUCUGCUUGUUGAGUCUUCUUGGCAUUCAUCUUAAAAGCCAGCAUCUCACUAUUUAUUGACAAGUUCUGUGUGUGUGUGUGUGUGUGUGUGUGUAUACAUUUCUAGGUGUUUCUAGGCCCAUGUCCUCCUGCAGCUUUUAAAAAAGAAACCCAGUCAUCCCACUACUAAAUUGACACCUUCUCAUGCUUCUAGUAUUUUGGCCAUUCAUCAACAGAGGGUUUUAAUUUUCCAAUGCUGACAUGUUCAGGAGGAGCUGGGUCAAAUUUUGAGCGGGGUAUGGGAACAGGAGGCGGAGAAGAAAUUGACAUUUAUUUUAUUAUUUAUUUUAAAUGUUUACAUCUUUGUGUUGUACCACGCCCAAAUAGAAAAAGAUAGCAUUAAAAUGCUCAGUUCCUCUCUCCCUCUCUUUCUUCUUUACAAUUUAAAAAAAAAUUUAGGCUAAUGAUGCUUUUUGUUUGUUUCUAAAAUGAUUUGUGACUUGUGCUGUAUAAACUGUAUAAAAAGGUUCUGUUUUUAAAGAUGGACUGUCAUUCCUUUGGGGACAGUAGUCACCAAGAAGUCUACAUUGUAAGAGAACAUAAGGAAAGAUCCUGCCCUGUUCCUCAAAAAUUGUUUUCUCUGUAUGAUUAAAAGUUUAUUCCAUUUAUUUUAGUUUGUGGUUACUUGAUGUCAAGGAAGAAAAUUUUCACCUUUGUAUAAAGAAUAGGUAUCAGGGUGUUUUUUCCUGCAGUGAGAGAUGUAUAUAUAGUAUUUUGGUAUAUAGUGGACAAUCAUAAGCUUUGUGCAUCUGUAUUUGAGGUAUGUCGAUGAUGUGGAGUAAAGACUGCUAUAAAAUCCUGAGGCAAAAAAAAAAGUUGUACAAGAUUCCUAUAACUUGAUGGGGAAUUUAAUUAUCUUUCUGAGCACCUUUUUUUCCUUUUUUUAAAGUAUUGGUGAAAUGGUCCCAUUGGAAAGACUUCUAAAUAGGCCUCUCCAGGCAGGACCAUGAGCUCAAAAAUCUUUGUAUAGUUUUGAAAAUUGAGGAGUAGCUUUGCUCUGAAGCAUCUCUGGUGGUGUUCUGUUGUUUUGUUUUGUUAUUUUACUGUAAUACAAGCCUACAGUAUUUGCACUAAAGAAAGCUUGUUAGAAAAAGCUUGCUGCUAUGGAAGAAAGAACAUACUAGAACUUUUUUUUCCUUUUUCCUUUUUUUUUUUUUGGUUAGCUUUUCCACUUUCAAUUGAGUAGCAUUUUGUAGAAUAAAAUGAAUUAAGAUU